GACGAACGCUGGCGGCGUGCUUAACACAUGCAAGUCGAGCGGUAAGGCCCUUUCGGGGGUACACGAGCGGCGAACGGGUGAGUAACACGUGGGUGACCUGCCCUCAGCUCUGGGAUAAGCCUGGGAAACCGGGUCUAAUACUGGAUAUGACUCCAUGACGCAUGUUGUGGGGUGGAAAGCCUUGUGCGGCUGAGGAUGGGCCCGCGGCCUAUCAGCCUUGUUGGUGGGGUGANGGCCUACCAAGGCGACGACGGGUAGCCGGCCUGAGAGGGCGACCGGCCACACUGGGACUGAGACACGGCCCAGACUCCUACGGGAGGCAGCAGUGGGGAAUCUUGCGCAAUGGGCGAAAGCCUGACGCAGCGACGCCGCGUGAGGGAUGACGGCCU
rnacentral:rRNA from 1 species